rnacentral:rRNA from 1 species
GACGAACGCUGGCGGCGUGCUUAACACAUGCAAGUCGAACGGAAAGGCCCUGCUUUUGUGGGGUGCUCGAGUGGCGAACGGGUGAGUAACACGUGAGUAACCUGCCCUUGACUUUGGGAUAACUUCAGGAAACUGGGGCUAAUACCGGAUAGGAGCUCCUGCUGCAUGGUGGGGGUUGGAAAGUUUCGGCGGUUGGGGAUGGACUCGCGGCUUAUCAGCUUGUUGGUGGGGUAGUGGCUUACCAAGGCUUUGACGGGUAGCCGGCCUGAGAGGGUGACCGGGCACAUUGGGCCUGAGAUACGGCCCAGACUCCUACGGGAGGCAGCAGUGGGGAAUAUUGCACAAUGGGCGGAAGCCUGAUGCAGCAACGCCGCGGGCGGGAUGACGGCCUUCGGGUUGUAAACCGCUUUCGCCUGUGACGAAGCGUGAGUGACGGUAAUGGGUAAAGAAGCACCGGCUAACUACGUG